rnacentral:tRNA from 1 species
GCAGAUUAGGGUUAGUCCGGUGUUGAUUUGAAAUCAAUUUUGUUAUGUUUAAGUCAUAAGUUCUGUU